rnacentral:ncRNA from 1 species
GAAAGCCGUAUGAGGGAAAACCUCAAGUACGGUUUGAUGAGGAGGGACAGGGUUAAAUCCAGCCCUUUACUAUAGU